ACCCAAAUAGCUCAGUUGGGACAACCUUAGACUAUGGAUCGAAAGGUCCCUGGUUCGAUCCCGGGAUUCGGCA
rnacentral:tRNA from 1 species